AUUGAACGCUGGCGGCAGGCUUAACACACGCAAGUCGAGCGGAGAUGAGGUGCUUGCACCUUAUCUUAGCGGCGGACGGGUGAGUAAUGCUUAGGAAUCUGCCUAUUAGUGGGGGACAACAUUCCGAAAGGAAUGCUAAUACCGCAUACGUCCUACGGGAGAAAGCAGGGGAUCUUCGGACCUUGCGCUAAUAGAUGAGCCUAAGUCGGAUUAGCUAGUUGGUGGGGUAAAGGCCUACCAAGGCGACGAUCUGUAGCGGGUCUGAGAGGAUGAUCCGCCAGACUGGGACUGAGACACGGCCCAGACUCCUACGGGAGGCAGCAGUGGGGAAUAUUGGACAAUGGGGGGAACCCUGAUCCAGCCAUGCCGCGUGUGUGAAGAAGGCCUUAUGGUUGUAAAGCACUUUAAGCGAGGAGGAGGCUACUGAGACUAAUACUCUUGGAUAGUGGACGUUACUCGCAGAAUAAGCACCGGCUAACUCUGUGCCAGCCGCCGCCGUAAUAC
rnacentral:rRNA from 1 species